rnacentral:rRNA from 1 species
UACGGGGGGGGCAAGCGUUGUUCGGAAUUACUGGGCGUAAAGGGCCCGUAGGCGGCCAACUAAGUCAGACGUGAAAUCCCUCGGCUUAACCGGGGAACUGCAUCUGAUACUGGAUGGCUUGAGUUCGGGAGAGGGAUGCGGAAUUCCAGGUGUAGCGGUGAAAUGCGUAGAUAUCUGGAAGAACACCGGUGGCGAAGGCGGCAUCCUGGACCGACACUGACGCUGAGGAGCGAAAGCCAGGGGAGCAAACGGG